UUCUGAUAACUGCCUCCUGUUGCACACAGGCAAGAAGCAAUCCUGUUCUUGCAUGGCAGUAUGACUUCUGAGCUUCAGCUAUGUGUUCUGUGUGAUGCAAAAUCAAACAGAUGUACAUUCUUUAUCCCCAGAUUAACUGUGUCCAUUUGGAGCAGAUCAAUAGCUGCUAGGUGCAGUACUCUGUUGCCUAAUGCCAUAAUUAUGAGAGAACUCUCAUUGAGAGUUCUCCUGAAAGACUCUCCAUUGUCACUGAGAUCGCUAUCACUUCUGCCUUUAACUCAUGCAUCUGACAGUAUUUGCCAGACUUCAGCCAGAGCUGGCAUCAAAAUUUCCUGGGAACAAAAUGUUAUUGGCAGCAUUAGACCCAGGGCCUGAAUCCCUGGGGUGUGAGGGGUGCAGGGUCAUGUCCCCCACAUGGCUGAUCUCUGUGAGCUCCUAUGACACGUUCACUCUGCUGGGCCUCUCCCACCUUCAAAAGGAGCUAUUAGCAAAUCUAGGAUAGCACUGUCUGUAAUUUGUGGGGAGUUCUGUAUGUUGAUGGAGAUGGCUCCAAAGAAACCAUUUGUUUUGACGAUAUAUCAAAUCUUAAUAGUCUUAGUGCCUGAAGUUUUUCUUCCUGUGAUAACGGAGGAAAAAUGCCAACUGCAUUGUUAAAAUCAGAGUUGGCUGCAGAUUAGGCAGGAGGGUUUGGUUCCAUAGGUGACCGAUUUUCAAAGUCGCCUUUUAAAUGCUUUACACCACAGGAUGGCUGAGAGUCAGCAGAGCAGGAUUCAGUCCUGCAUUAAGCAAACAAAACUGAAAGCUGCCUGGCAACUGCAGGGGAGUAGAAUAGCAGGUCAUCGCUGGUGGAGAAUGAGCUCUUUCAGAUGGGUUUGAAGAUCAUUAAGAGGCUAUUAUCAGCAGAGGUUUUAUCAGCAGUGGGAUUUUCUCCGAUCUGAGCCAGUGCUGGUGACCCUUAGCUAUCUGCUCUGCUACAGAUGUCAGCGCAAAGAGAGCUAGCAGCUCGGGAGUGCAGUGUACCUUGUCUGAACGGGCACAAGCUACACCAGGAAGCGGUGCCUGGAGUUGUUUGCCACACCAGUGCAGUGGUAUGAGGGGUGAGCAGCCUGGGAUCUGAAUUCACACCAGGGAUUAGGAGAAUGCCUGGGCUCAGCACUCUGUUGAAUAUUUAUCUCUCUUCCAGGAUUUUUAUUGCUGGUGUAAGAUCACCAGGACUAAAUUGCUGUUGCCCUUAUAAAGGCAGACUGAGGCACAGCAAAGAGGGGUGGUGUGCGCUCAGACUGGCUUAAAGAGAACACCACUACGUUUGGACAGACAGUUUGCAGUGUUCCACUCUGCCUCAGGCUACUGCAAACCCCUUGCCUGCUUGGAAAGGUCACAGUGCUGUGAGAACAGCAGUCCUGAUUCGUGCAGGGCUUGCUUCAUACCCAUGUCAGUGUGUGGGGCUGUGCAGUGUGGAUGUGAGAUAAGCUUGGUUUGAAACACGGGCCUAUGCGUGCACACAGGUGGCAAGGCUGAGGCAGCCCACGUCAUUCACUCUACCUGAUACUGCUCCUAAGAAGAGACUGUACUAUGGCUUACAGCCUUACCACUACGACAUCUGCCAUUUGAAAUAUGUUUGCAUCAUUUCGGCACCUCUUGUGCUUGCUUUGAGAGCCUUUCCACACAAGAAAUAUAAAUUCCACAAAAUGUCUUUUUUUUUUUUUUUUUAAGGAAUUCAGUGCAUGUAGACAGAUUCUCAGGUGCACUUGUUAUUCUGAUCACCUUUGUCAUCAUGUUUCUGACAUGUAUACUCAUAUGGAGUUCAUAUAUAGCAAACUGUUAUGAAAUGUGGAAUUUGCCAUGAUUACUCAGGACAGCAAAUCUCCCGAGGAGUUGCUAUUUCUGCAUGGUGUUGUCUCAAGCAUCGUUCAGGCUGCAGAUGCUAGAACAACAAGUGGUAGGGUGGGAAGAGGCUGAAAAUGAAGACCUCAAUGAGGACGAGGAGAAGCAUAAACGCCAGAAGUUUGCAGAUGAGCAGAGGAUGCAGCUAGUGACUGUGCUGCAGAAAUCCGAUAAUGACAGCAGUGAUUUGGUUCUGCUUAACAUCUACGACUCCGUCCAGGAGGAGGUUUGAGCCAAGAGCAAACUUCUGGAGAAGAUGCAGAAGCUGUGAGCUGCUAAGACAGAAAUAAAAAAUCUGCAGACAGUUUGAGCUGGAAAAGAUCGGUUAUCUCAGCACUAACCACAAUCUGGAGUGAGACGUGAUGCUCUUCCAGCAGCUGCUGGAUCAGGUGCAGUCCCUCAUCCAGCGGGACUGCAACUACAGCAAUCUGGAGAAGAUCAAGUGCGAGUCCGUCUGGGAUGAGGAGUCUGGCUGCUGGAAAAUUUCAGAGCCUGGCAUUCAGAAAAACCACCUGCCCGCAGGUAAGAGGAGUGUCGGGGUCACAGUGCCAUCCCCUGGCUUCUCCUGGGCUCACCAGCAGGUCAAUAAACAGCAAUUGAAC
rnacentral:lncRNA from 7 species